rnacentral:rRNA from 1 species
CAAAGGAAGCGAUUCCGGCAACGGAUGGGCAUGCGUGACAUUAGCUAGUUGGCGGGGCAACGGCCCACCAAGGCGACGAUGUCUAGGGGUUCUGAGAGGAAGGUCCCCCACACUGGUACUGAGACACGGACCAGACUCCUACGGGAGGCAGCAGUGAGGAAUAUUGGUCAAUGGGCGCGAGCCUGAACCAGCCAAGUCGCGUGAGGGAUGACGGCCCUACGGGUUGUAAACCUCUUUUGUCGGGGAGCAAAUUCCGCCACGCGUGGCGGAGUCGAGAGUACCCGAAGAAAAAGCAUCGGCUAACUCCGUGCCAGCAGCCGCGGUAAUACGGAGGAUGCGAGCGUUAUCCGGAUUUAUUGGGUUUAAAGGGUGCGUAGGCGGACUGUCAAGUCAGCGGUAAAAUACGGGGGCUCAACCUCCGCCCGCCGUUGAAACUGACGGUCUUGAGUGGGCGAGAAGUAUGCGGAAUGCGUGGUGUAGCGGUGAAAUGCAUAGAUAUCACGCAGAACUCCGAUUGCGAAGGCAGCAUACCGGCGCCCAACUGACGCUGAAGCACGAAAGCGUGGGUAUCGAACAGGAUUAGAUACCCUGGUAGUCCACGCAGUAAACGAUGAAUACUAGCUGUCCGGGGCGAAUGGGCCCUGG